GGGUUGUGAGGUUAAGCGACUAAGCGUACACGGUGGAUGCCCUGGCAGUCAGAGGCGAUGAAGGACGUGCUAAUCUGCGAUAAGCGUCGGUGAGGUGAUAUGAACCGUUAUAACCGGCGAUUUCCGAAUGGGGAAACCCAGUGUGUUUCGACACACUAUCAUUAACUGAAUCCAUAGGUUAAUGAGGCGAACCGGGGGAACUGAAACAUCUAAGUACCCCGAGGAAAAGAAAUCAACCGAGAUUCCCCCAGUAGCGGCGAGCGAACGGGGAGGAGCCCAGAGCCUGAAUCAGUGUGUGUGUUAGUGGAAGCGUCUGGAAAGGCGCGCGAUACAGGGUGACAGCCCCGUACACAAAAAUGCACAUAUUGUGAGCUCGAUGAGUAGGGCGGGACACGUGGUAUCCUGUCUGAAUAUGGGGGGACCAUCCUCCAAGGCUAAAUACUCCUGACUGACCGAUAGUGAACCAGUACCGUGAGGGAAAGGCGAAAAGAACCCCGGCGAGGGGAGUGAAAAAGAACCUGAAACCGUGUACGUACAAGCAGUGGGAGCCUCUUAAUGGGGUGACUGCGUACCUUUUGUAUAAUGGGUCAGCGACUUAUAUUCUGUAGCAAGGUUAACCGAAUAGGGGAGCCGAAGGGAAACCGAGUCUUAACUGGGCGUUAAGUUGCAGGGUAUAGACCCGAAACCCGGUGAUCUAGCCAUGGGCAGGUUGAAGGUUGGGUAACACUAACUGGAGGACCGAACCGACUAAUGUUGAAAAAUUAGCGGAUGACUUGUGGCUGGGGGUGAAAGGCCAAUCAAACCGGGAGAUAGCUGGUUCUCCCCGAAAGCUAUUUAGGUAGCGCCUCGUGAAUUCAUCUCCGGGGGUAGAGCACUGUUUCGGCAAGGGGGUCAUCCCGACUUACCAACCCGAUGCAAACUGCGAAUACCGGAGAAUGUUAUCACGGGAGACACACGGCGGGUGCUAACGUCCGUCGUGAAGAGGGAAACAACCCAGACCGCCAGCUAAGGUCCCAAAGUCAUGGUUAAGUGGGAAACGAUGUGGGAAGGCCCAGACAGCCAGGAUGUUGGCUUAGAAGCAGCCAUCAUUUAAAGAAAGCGUAAUAGCUCACUGGUCGAGUCGGCCUGCGCGGAAGAUGUAACGGGGCUAAACCAUGCACCGAAGCUGCGGCAGCGACACUAUGUGUUGUUGGGUAGGGGAGCGUUCUGUAAGCCUGUGAAGGUGGCCUGUGAGGGUUGCUGGAGGUAUCAGAAGUGCGAAUGCUGACAUAAGUAACGAUAAAGCGGGUGAAAAGCCCGCUCGCCGGAAGACCAAGGGUUCCUGUCCAACGUUAAUCGGGGCAGGGUGAGUCGACCCCUAAGGCGAGGCCGAAAGGCGUAGUCGAUGGGAAACAGGUUAAUAUUCCUGUACUUGGUGUUACUGCGAAGGGGGGACGGAGAAGGCUAUGUUGGCCGGGCGACGGUUGUCCCGGUUUAAGCGUGUAGGCUGGUUUUCCAGGCAAAUCCGGAAAACCAAGGCUGAGGCGUGAUGACGAGGCACUACGGUGCUGAAGCGACAAAUGCCCUGCUUCCAGGAAAAGCCUCUAAGCAUCAGGUAACAUCAAAUCGUACCCCAAACCGACACAGGUGGUCAGGUAGAGAAUACCAAGGCGCUUGAGAGAACUCGGGUGAAGGAACUAGGCAAAAUGGUGCCGUAACUUCGGGAGAAGGCACGCUGAUAUGUAGGUGAAGCGACUUGCUCGUGGAGCUGAAAUCAGUCGAAGAUACCAGCUGGCUGCAACUGUUUAUUAAAAACACAGCACUGUGCAAACACGAAAGUGGACGUAUACGGUGUGACGCCUGCCCGGUGCCGGAAGGUUAAUUGAUGGGGUUAGCGGUAACGCGAAGCUCUUGAUCGAAGCCCCGGUAAACGGCGGCCGUAACUAUAACGGUCCUAAGGUAGCGAAAUUCCUUGUCGGGUAAGUUCCGACCUGCACGAAUGGCGUAAUGAUGGCCAGGCUGUCUCCACCCGAGACUCAGUGAAAUUGAACUCGCUGUGAAGAUGCAGUGUACCCGCGGCAAGACGGAAAGACCCCGUGAACCUUUACUAUAGCUUGACACUGAACAUUGAGCCUUGAUGUGUAGGAUAGGUGGGAGGCUUUGAAGUGUGGACGCCAGUCUGCAUGGAGCCGACCUUGAAAUACCACCCUUUAAUGUUUGAUGUUCUAACGUUGGCCCGUAAUCCGGGUUGCGGACAGUGUCUGGUGGGUAGUUUGACUGGGGCGGUCUCCUCCUAAAGAGUAACGGAGGAGCACGAAGGUUGGCUAAUCCUGGUCGGACAUCAGGAGGUUAGUGCAAUGGCAUAAGCCAGCUUGACUGCGAGCGUGACGGCGCGAGCAGGUGCGAAAGCAGGUCAUAGUGAUCCGGUGGUUCUGAAUGGAAGGGCCAUCGCUCAACGGAUAAAAGGUACUCCGGGGAUAACAGGCUGAUACCGCCCAAGAGUUCAUAUCGACGGCGGUGUUUGGCACCUCGAUGUCGGCUCAUCACAUCCUGGGGCUGAAGUAGGUCCCAAGGGUAUGGCUGUUCGCCAUUUAAAGUGGUACGCGAGCUGGGUUUAGAACGUCGUGAGACAGUUCGGUCCCUAUCUGCCGUGGGCGCUGGAGAACUGAGGGGGGCUGCUCCUAGUACGAGAGGACCGGAGUGGACGCAUCACUGGUGUUCGGGUUGUCAUGCCAAUGGCACUGCCCGGUAGCUAAAUGCGGAAGAGAUAAGUGCUGAAAGCAUCUAAGCACGAAACUUGCCCCGAGAUGAGUUCUCCCUGACUCCUUGAGAGUCCUGAAGGAACGUUGAAGACGACGACGUUGAUAGGCCGGGUGUGUAAGCGCAGCGAUGCGUUGAGCUAACCGGUACUAAUGAACCGUGAGGCUUAACCUUACAACGCCGAAG
rnacentral:rRNA from 1 species